rnacentral:rRNA from 1 species
UACGUAGGGACCAAGCGUUGUUCGGAAUUACUGGGCGUAAAGGGCGCGUAGGCGGUGUGUCAAGUCAGGCGUGAAAGCCCCGGGCUCAACCUGGGAACCGCGCUUGAGACUGGCACGCUCGAGCUCGGGAGAGGAUGGUGGAAUUCCCAGUGUAGAGGUGAAAUUCGUAGAUAUUGGGAAGAACACCGAUGGCGAAGGCAGCCAUCUGGACCGACACUGACGCUGAGGCGCGAAAGCCAGGGGAGCGAACGGG